rnacentral:rRNA from 1 species
GACGAACGCUGGCGGCGUGCCUAAUACAUGCAAGUCGAGCGAAUGAUGAGGAGCUUGCUCCUCUGAUUUAGCGGCGGACGGGUGAGUAACACGUGGGCAACCUGCCCUGUAGACUGGGAUAACUUCGGGAAACCGGAGCUAAUACCGGAUAAUUCUUUUAGCCUCAUGGCUUUAAGCUAAAAGGCGCUUCGGCGUCACUACAGGAUGGGCCCGCGGUGCAUUAGCUGGUUGGUGGGGUAAUGGCCUACCAAGGCAACGAUGCAUAGCCGACCUGAGGGGGUGGACGGCCACAUUGGGACUGAGAAACGGCACAAACGCCUCCGGGGUGCAGCAGUAGGGAAUCUUCCACAAUGGACGAAAGUCUGAUGGAGCAACGCCGCGUGAGUGAUGAAGGUUUUCGGAUCGUAAAACUCUGUUGUAAGGGAAGAACAAGUGCGUUAGGUAAUGAACGCACCGUGACGGUACCUUAUUAGAAAGCCACGGCUAACUACGUGCCAGCAGCCGCCGUAA